rnacentral:rRNA from 1 species
CCUACGGGUGGCAGCAGUGGGGAAUAUUGGGCAAUGGGCGAGAGUCUGACCCAGCCAAGCAGCGUGAAGGAUGACUGCUCUCUGGUUUUUAACUUCCUUUUAUAGGGGAGUAACAUGUUACGCUACCUGGGGUUUGUGCCACGGCGAACUACGUGCAAGCACCCGCGGUAAUACGUAGGUGGCAAGCGUUAUCCGGAUUUACUGGGUGUAAAGGGCGAGUAGGUGGGAUUGCAAGUCAGAUGUGAAAGUCAUGGGCUCAACCUAUGGACUGUAGUUGAAACUGGAGGUCUUGAGUACAGGAGAGGCAGACGGAAUUCGUGGUGUAGCGGUGAAAUGCUUAGAUAUCACGAAGAACUCCGAUGGCGAAGGCAGUCCACUGGACUGCAACUGACACUGAGGCGCGAAAGUGUGGGUAGCAAACAGGAUUAGAUACCCUAGUAGUC